AACUUUGACCACAGGACUGUUUCUCUACUCUAAUAGGCACUGUGGGUUCCACAACCAUCUUGCCUCCAGCUCUGCAUUCGGAGAAACCCAAAUUGGAAGGGGACUUACUGGUCCUCUCAAGGGUGAGACUGAGGCCUUCCAGGACGCUGUGCUAAGGAUCCCAGCACCCAGCCCGAACAGCAGCCCAGCCCAAGUUCCGUCCAUGAAAACUGACCCACAGCUCUCGCGGGCCAGCCGAGACCAAGACACCUCUCCACGCCCUCAAAGAGCCAGAGGAAGGGUGAGGCGAGCGGCUCACCAGGCGAAGAGUGGUUUGCUGUCCUCCUUGGAGAGCUCGCACAGGCAGUUCAGCAGUAGCAGGGAGUCACCCAGGAACUUGGGUGGCACGAUGUCAAUGACGAGCUUGCGCAGUGCAGCGGGGCUGCUGUGCAGCGGGUUGGCCCUCAAGUCUGGACGCUGCUUCAGGAUGCCGUAAGUAUUGAUGAGGAACUCACUGAAGACUGGGUGUACUUCGCGGCUGUAGCCCAGCUUCUCCAGCCGCGCCGUCAGGGUCAGGUACCGAUGUGUGAGCUCACGCAGCUUCUUCUCAUCCACCGAGCCGUCUAGGGACUUGAUAGACGUCUGAGAGACACAAGGUAGAAGCACCACAUCAGAGAAGUCUCUGACCCUAGUGGAGGUAGGUAGGAGCAGGGGCCCUAGGCCCCGUCAGCACUUCCGAAGGGUGAGCCCUUGGCGGGGAAGGCAGGGAAGGCGAGGAAGGAGGGGAUUCACUUGGACCCAAGAAAAGUCGGUGUCUGCAAGGCCUCGACAGCCCCAGGGUGUGCCCCUCACGCACCCAGGUACCAGCCCGGACCUGGAACAACAGAGACAGUGUACCUGCUUGAUCUUCUCAGGGAUGUUGGAGACUGUAAAACCAUAGAGGCGCGUCACCCCGGGGAACACAUAGGCCAGGAUGCGCCGGUCAAGCUGGAACGCGAUCUCCCCGACUAUGCGGCCAUCCUUCUCAGCACCCGCAAAACUCUGGAUCUCUGGAUGGGAAAGAGCAUGGAACCCCUUGUGGCUCUCAUUUACCUUGUGAGGUUCAUUAAUGGUGCGUAUUAGCCAAUCUGCCCGAGCCCUUCAAACAUUUUUUUUUUUUUUGUUAAGACAGAGUCUUUCUGUUAAGCCAAAACUGGGCUAAAACUAGAGAUUCUUUUGUCUACAGUCCCUAAGUCAUCGGUUGUCAACCUGUGGGUCAUGACCCCUUGGAGUGACCACUGACCUUUCACAGGGGUUGCAUAUCAGAUAUCCUUCUAUGAGCUAGGAUUACAAACAUAAGCCACUACAUCCUGCGAGAGUUCUUAUAUAUUCUGGAACUAUUCCCCUACCCGUACGAGAUUUACAAAUAUUUCCCACAGUGACUUUUUUUUUUUUUGUGUGUGUGUGUGUGUGUGUGUGUUCCUUAAAGCACAAGAGGUUUUUCAUUCAGGAAAAUAGUUCAGCUUAUCUGUUUUAGGUGGUUGCAUAGGUUUCUGUUGUCAGACCUAAAAAUCCAUUGUCAAAUCUGAGGUAAUGAAGACUGAAUCCUGUGUCUUUAAGUUUUAUGGGUUUUGGAAUUCUUAGCUCUCUUAAGCAUUGUCAUAUGCUUCGAGUUGAUUUUUGCAUAUGACAUGAGGUAUGGUCUAGCUUUGCUCUUUGCAUGUACACGCCCAUGUGUUGAAGAUUGUCCUUUAUCCACUGAACUGUCUUAGUAACAUUAUAACAUCAAAUUUCAAAUUCAUGAGCUUGCUGUUUUCCAGUUCAUCAAUAUGUCUAGCCUUAUGGUAAGUCUUAUGAUGGUCUUGAUUAACAUAACUUUAUAGUAAAUUUGAAAUCAGAAAGUGUGAGUCCUCCACUUUGCCCAAUUUUUGAAAGUUGUCUUACCUGUCCUGGGUCCUGUAUAUUUUAACAUAAAUAUAAGGUUAUGCAUAUAUUUUCAUAAAGAAACUAGCUAGAACAGAUGAGUUGCAAUGAGCUAUUGGUAAUUAUUGAUAUUGGCUAUUAAACAAUAUUAAGUCUUCUAACCUAGGAAUAAACUGUUUUAGCUAUUUAAA